rnacentral:rRNA from 1 species
AGAGUUUGAUCCUGGCUCAGGACGAACGCUGGCGGCGUGCCUAACACAUGCAAGUCGAGCGAUGAAGUCCUUCGGGAACGGAUUAGCGGCGGACGGGUGAGUAACACGUGGGCAACCUGCCUUAUAGAGGGGAAUAGCCUUCCGAAAGGAAGAUUAAUACCGCAUAAGAUUGUAGCUUCGCAUGAAGCAGCAAUUAAAGGAGCAAUCCGCUAUAAGAUGGGCCCGCGGCGCAUUAGCUAGUUGGUGAGGUAACGGCUCACCAAGGCGACGAUGCGUAGCCGACCUGAGAGGGUGAUCGGCCACAUUGGGACUGAGACACGGCCCAGACUCCUACGGGAGGCAGCAGUGGGGAAUAUUGCACAAUGGGGGAAACCCUGAUGCAGCAACGCCGCGUGAGUGAUGACGGCCUUCGGGUUGUAAAGCUCUGUCUUUGGGGACGAUAAUGACGGUACCCAAGGAGGAAGCCACGGCUAACUACGU